rnacentral:rRNA from 1 species
UACGUAGGGUGCGAGCGUUAAUCGGAAUUACUGGGCGUAAAGCGUGCGCAGGCGGUUUUGUAAGCCAGAUGUGAAAGCCCCGGGCUUAACCUGGGAAUGGCAUUUGGGACUGCAAGGCUUGAGUGCGGCAGAGGAGACUGGAAUUCCCGGUGUAGCAGUGAAAUGCGUAGAUAUCGGGAGGAACACCGAUGGCGAAGGCAGGUCUCUGGGCCACUACUGACGCUGAGAAGCGAAAGCAUGGGGAGCGAACAGG